GACGAACGCUGGCGGCGUGCUUAACACAUGCAAGUGGGGCGACGAACCAGGCUUCGGCCUGGGGCAAAGCCGCGAACGGGUGAGUAACACGUGAGUAACCUGCCCUGGACUUUGGGAUAACCCUCGGAAACGGGGGCUAAUACCGAAUAUGACCUGACACUGCAUGGUGUUUGGUGGAAAGUUUUUCGGUCUGGAGUGGCUCGCGGCCUAUCAGCUUGUUGGUGAGGUAAUGGCUCACCAAGGCGACGACGGGUAGCCGGCCUGAGAGGGUGACCGGCCACACUGGGACUGAGACACGGCCCAGACUCCUACGGGAGGCAGCAGUGGGGAAUAUUGCACAAUGGGCGCAAGCCUGAUGCAGCGACGCCG
rnacentral:rRNA from 1 species